UGACAUGGAGUCAACCAAGAUGUCCAGAAGACCGCCAGCAGCUCGGAAGCAAGGUUGGAAGCUAGAGACAAACGAGGAGCCAGCCCCAAGGAGAAUCUACAGUUGAGGCCAGAGCCUCAGAGAACUCAGCCCUGCAGGGGCAAGUGAAGGGCUGCGCCCUGAGGAAGACAUGAACACUUUAAUACCAAUAUUUCUAAUGGUUUCAGGGCUGUGCUGUCAAGAUCCAGGAGAAGGAGCGUGUGAGAAAAUACCUCUUCACACAGCCUGCCCACCUAUCUGUCCUGUUCACAUAACUAACUUAAGUGUCAACACAUUCAAUGAAAGAUUUAAUGGCUUAAACUGAAAUCACUGUAAACAGCAAUACUCCUGUCCAGCAUAAAAUGGGAGUAAUGUCAAAAUUGGCUUUGCAGGAGGCAAAGGAGGGUUGGGAAGAAAAGCACUGACCAGAUGAAAGCAGUGGGGAUGGAGAACAGAAGGUGGUUCAAAGCAAGCACAGAAAGAAGAGACAUUUUCAACCAAGAGUGAAGGAGAUGGGGAGGACGCCGUGAGAACAGUAAAGAUUUUCAAAUAGCUGCUAAGAGGAACGGGAAAAGAGCCAAAGGAGGACUUCCUGGGCAACUGCUUACCAUAACUGCAGCGAGUGUGGAUAAAAAUCCACACCCUGCCCCAGAGGUCCAAAGACUGGUGAUUAAUGGACAUCAGAGCACACCCCAACCUUCAGGCCAGUCCGCGACAGGGGCGGGGAACAGCAAUCUUACAUCAUGGCACUGAGACGGAGAGGGGAAGCCCAGAACUUUGGGAGCGGAAACAAAAUGACAUCAUCCUUUACUACCAUGUUUACAGUGGGGACUUUCCUGUGAAUAAACCAGCAAGUAUUGCCCCCACACUUAGUCAAAGCUUUCCCUAAUGGAGCAAGUGCAGGAUUCUCUGAAAAGGGAAGACAUCACAGCUCAGACAUCAGAGCACAGCACCCUCACCUAGCAGCAAGGACGCUAGUGACCAAAGAAUCUGGGGGCAAAGCCAGGAAACAAU